GAUGAACGCUGGCGGCGUGCCUAAUACAUGCAAGUCGAGCGAACAGACGAGGAGCUUGCUCCUCUGACGUUAGCGGCGGACGGGUGAGUAACACGUGGAUAACCUACCUAUAAGACUGGGAUAACUUCGGGAAACCGGAGCUAAUACCGGAUAAUAUAUUGAACCGCAUGGUUCAAUAGUGAAAGACGGUUUUGCUGUCACUUAUAGAUGGAUCCGCGCCGCAUUAGCUAGUUGGUAAGGUAACGGCUUACCAAGGCAACGAUGCGUAGCCGACCUGAGAGGGUGAUCGGCCACACUGGAACUGAGACACGGUCCAGACUCCUACGGGAGGCAGCAGUAGGGAAUCUUCCGCAAGGGGCGAAAGCUUGACGGAGCAACGCCGCGUGAGUGAUGAAGGUCUUCGGAUCGUAAAACUCUGUUAUUAGGAAGAACAAAUGUGUAAGUAACUAUGCACGUCUUGACGGUACCUAAUCAGAAAGCCACGGCUAACUACGUG
rnacentral:rRNA from 1 species